CAUGCGUCUGAAGACCGCACCGCACUGAGUUGCGCUUGAGUAAAGGGACCGAUCAUUCGGAGUAAAAUUCUGUAUGCAUAUUUAUUAUGACAAUAUGUUUAGGAGUCUUGACUAAUUACGUGCCAGCAGUCGCGGCAAUACGUAUGAGACGAGUGUUAUUCAUCUUUAAUAGGUUUAAAGGGUACUUAGACAGUUUAAUUAGCCCAAGCGGUACAAUUAAUCUAGAGUUUUAUAUAAGAAGGUCGUACUCUUGAGUGUAGUGAUGAAAUACUUUGAUACCUUGGGGACUGGUAAAGGCGAAGGCAACCUUUUAUCUUAAAACUGACGUCAAAGGACGAAGGCUUAGAGCACUAACGGGAUUAGGUACCCCAGUAGUCUUUGCAGAGAAUUAUGAAUGUCAUAGGUUAGUAUAUAUAUCUAGGGUAGUGGGUGUAUGUUUAAAUAUACACUUUAAGUACAGGUUGAUAACAGUAUAAUAAUAUGGUUGGGCGCUUAUUCUUCGGCGGCCCGGUAUGUGUUAACUAUGUAUUAAUACAUAUUUAGUACAUAUGUACUAAGUAUGGUUGCUACCUGGAUAGUUUAGUCUAUAAAUGAAAGUGUAAGCAUUUCACCUCAAGAGUAGUGCGGCAACGUUGGAACUGAAAUCACUAGACCGUUUCUGACAUCAGCAGUGAAGUAUGUUAUUAU
rnacentral:rRNA from 1 species